UAGCUAAUACCGAAUAAGGUCAAUUGAGGUGUUAAUUGAUGAAAGGAAGCCUUUAAAGCUUCGCUUGUAGAUGAGUCUGCGUCUUAUUAGCUAGUUGGUGGGAUAAGAGCCUACCAAGGCUAUGAUAAGUAACCGGCCUGAGAGGGUGAUCGGUCACACUGGAACUGAGAUACGGUCCAGACUCCUACGGGAGGCAGCAGCUAAGAAUCUUCCGCAAUGGGCGAAAGCCUGACGGAGCGACACUGCGUGAACGAAGAAGGUCGAAAGAUUGUAAAGUUCUUUUAUAAGUGAGGAAUAAGCUUUGUAGGAAAUGACAAAGUGAUGACGUUAAUUUAUGAAUAAGCCCCGGCUAAUUACGUGCCAGCAGCCGCGGUAAUACGUAAGGGGCGAGCGUUGUUCGGGAUCAUUGGGCGUAAAGGGUGAGUAGGCGGAUAUGCAAGUCUAUGUGUAAAAUACCACAGCUCAACUGUGGAACUAUGCUGGAAACUGCAUGACUAGAGUCUGAUAGGGGAAGUUAGAAUUCCUGGUGUAAGGGUGGAAUCUGUUGAUAUCAGGAAGAAUACCAGAGGCGAAGGCGAACUUCUAGGUCAAGACUGACGCUGAGUCACGAAAGCGUAGGGAGCAAACAGGAUUAGAUACCCUGGUAGUCUACGCUGUAAACGAUGCACACUUGGUGUUAAUCGAAAGGUUAGUACCGAAGCUAACGUGUUAAGUGUGCCGCCUGGGGAGUAUGUUCGCAAGAAUGAAACUCAAAGGAAUUGACGGGGGCCCGCACAAGCGGUGGAGCAUGUGGUUUAAUUCGAUGAUACGCGAGGAACCUUACCAGGGCUUGACAUAUACAGGAUAUAGUUAGAGAUGACUAUUCCCCGUUUGGGGUCUGUAUACAGGUGCUGCAUGGUUGUCGUCAGCUCGUGCCGUGAGGUGUUGGGUUAAGUCCCGCAACGAGCGCAACCCUUAUUGUCUGUUACCAGCAUGUAAAGAUGGGGACUCAGACGAGACUGCCGGUGAUAAGCCGGAGGAAGGUGAGGAUGACGUCAAAUCAUCAUGGCCCUUAUGUCCUGGGCUACACACGUGCUACAAUGGCCUGUACAAAGCGAUGCGAAACAGUGAUGUGAAGCAAAACGCAGAAAGCAGGUCUCAGUCCAGAUUGAAGU
rnacentral:rRNA from 1 species